rnacentral:rRNA from 1 species
GACGAAGGAUUCAAGCGUUGUCCGGAUUUACUGGGUUUAAAGGGUGCGUAGGCGGAAUAUUAAGUCAGUGGUGAAAGCUUCCCGCUCAACGGGAAAACUGCCAUUGAAACUGAUUUUCUUGAAUACAGUUGAGGUAGAUGGGAUAUAACAUGUAGCGGUGAAAUGCUUAGAUAUGUUAUAGAACACCAAUUGCGAAGGCAGUCUGCUAAGCUGUUAUUGACGCUGAGGCACGAAAGCGUGGGGAGCAAACAGG